rnacentral:rRNA from 1 species
GUCAGCAGCCGCGGUAACACCGGCGGCCCGAGUGGUGAUCGUGAUUAUUGGGUCUAAAGGGUCCGUAGCCGGUUUGGUCAGUCCUCCGGGAAAUCUGAUAGCUCAACGUAUUAGGCUUUCGGGGGAUACUGCCAGACUUGGAACCGGGAGAGGUAAGAGGGUACUACAGGGGUAGGGGUGAAAUCUUGUAAUCCCUAGUGGGGACCACCUGUGGCGAAGGCGUCUUACCAGAACGGGUUCGACGGUGAGGGACGAAAGCUGGGGGCACGAACCGGAUUAGAUACCCGGGUAGUCCCAGCCGUAAACGAUGCUCGCUAGGUGUCAGGCAUGGCGCGACCCGUGUCUGGUGCCGCAGGGAAGCCGUGAAGCGAGCCACCUGGGAAGUACGGCCGCAAGGCUGAAACUUAAAGGAAUUGGCGGGGGAGCACAACAACGGGUGGAGCCCUGCGGUUUAAUUGGACUCAACGCCGGACAACUCACCGGGGGCGACAGCAAUAUGUAGGCCAAGCUGAAGACUUUGCCUGAAUCGCUGAGGAGUGGUGCAUGG